CUCUAGCCCCAGGGACCUAGGCGAGGACAGGCACUCCUGCUUUUCCAAGAGCACCCUGGCCCGCCACGCCCCCAGCCUGGGCCUAUAAACACCCACGACCCUAGCAAGGCAGAGACAGAAGCUGCUGGAGGGCGAGAGGAACGCAUCAGUGGAAGAAGACAGAAGCGGCUGGUCACGGAGAGCAUGUCAGCAGAAGAACACACCUACAGACGCCGGCUCGCCCGCGGGCUCCCCGGCAGGCCAUCGACCGGUGGGACGAGGUGGAGUUUGUCCUGGGCAGUAGGAGGACAGCCCGGGCACCCAGCGGCCCAACUCCAGGGGAAAGCCAUCUCCCUUCUGGAGCUGCCCAACUCCGGGGGAAAACCAUCUCCUUUCUGACUCUCCUGUCGGUGGAGAGUUACUUCCACUCAAUACGAUUUUGCAGUCAUUCUCCAAGCCCACGUGUGAUCCGAUUCUUCCGGUACACCAAGGCAAGAACCCGGGAUACAGAAAGCCCUCUGGCCUUAUGACAAGGUAGAGGGUCUAACUGAGCUAUAGACCGUGAACUAAGAGCGCACCCUGGAACACACGCCCUCUGGGGCUUCAGCUGUAAACAUCCACCCUUAGACACUGCCAUGGGGUUGGAGCCCCACAACCUGCCCAUCUCUAUGCCCCACUAGAGGUAUGACCAACGGGGCACUGAAGAGGCGAGCACACCCCAUCGCACGCCCUGCAAGGGGGACGGGGGAACCUUUCCCAUUUCAACACCACCGCUGUGGCUGCAUGUGGCUGCCAUAAGAAAAAGAACCCAUUCUUUGGCACAGCUGAAGCAGGACUCUUCUCGUUGUUCUCCAGAGUCUGGCUGGCCUGGAACGUGCCAUGACUGUACAAUAUGAUAGGAGGGAGACUGUACCAGCUCCAAGCCAGCUUUUCUGAUACCUGCAGCUUCUGAUUCCUCUGGAGGAGAAGUCAGCUACUAGCAGAGUCAACUUUGAGCCCUGUUGCAAUGGUUCUUCUUCUAAGAAAAUGAUGACACCCGGCUUUGUAAAAGAAUUCUUUGCUCCCUGGAAUGUGAUGUACUGGAACAAGAUGCAUUUCCACGUCUGUAACAAAACAAAGAAAAACAAAAACACUUUUAGAGACUGUAAAAUAAUAAAAUUAUCAACUGCAACACCUCAGGGACGGCCCAGAUGCUCCUAUGGCCACGCACCUGCAGCAGGGACCUUCUCCCAGGUCGCCCCUACCGCCUGCCCAACUCGACCCCCGUCGUCUGCGCCUGCGCCCAGGCGCCUCUCACGCACCCCGGGCCCCCACCACCCUUUCCUGAGAACGUGAGCUUCGCCGUCUGCGCCUGCGCAAGGGAGCCCACCCGCUUCGCCGGAACUACCGCGGCACGAAGCCCCGCCCCCGCCCUCCUAGCCGUGGUCGCAGCCGUGUGCGCCUGCGCGCGGGAUCCUCGCCGGCCUCGCUCUCUGCGCGGUCGGCGGCGCUGCAGGCGAGCACAGGACGAUGACGAAGAGGACGGGGCUGCUGAGCGAUCCCCAGCACCCAAGGACCUGGAGCCCCAGGUCGCAGCCUCAGGACCCGGAGGAUGUGCCCAGCACCUCCAGGAGACGCGCGGACGAGGUCGUCGCCCCGCGGCUCGCCAAUCAGGCGUAGUGUGGAGACAGGGCGGGGAGUACGCUGGCGGCCGUGUAGACCCGCAGCACGACACGGUGGACUCAGCCCGGGAGGGAGUCUAGCUGCGGGCCAUGUCCAGCGUGGAUUCCAGAACCCGCCGCCUAGAGUCGCGGGGCGUCCUGAGGGAGAACUGGCCCCUAGUGGGAGUUGGGCGCGUCCCUGGAACCUCCCCUCCUCGAGGGCUGGGAGUUAGCGGGAAGAAGAAGAGGCCGCGGGCACCAUGAUUCAGACCCGGAAACUACGCCUCCAGGCAUGGCUAGGAGAAAUGGGCUUCGGAGACCAUGGCCACCCCUCUCCCUGCCUAGGAGCACGCCUGCCCCAGCACCCGGGCCUGAACGCAGCGAGAGCUCCAGAGCCUGCGAGUCCCAGAGGUCAGGAUCCGUUCCUUCUGAGGUGUCCCUAGGAGCUCCCUGAACCUCAAGCCAAAGGCCAGGCUACGGUGGUCAAGUCCCCCAAGUAGGGGGUCUUUUAAAAUACUUGGGUGGCUGGGACGGUGGCUCAAGCCUGUAAUCCCAGCACUUUGGGAGGCCGAGGCGGGUGGAUUGCUUGAGCUCAAGAAUUCAAGACCAACGUGGGCAGCAUAGCAAGACUCCCUACAAAAAAAAUAAUAAUAAGAUUUUAUAUAUAUAUAUAUAUAUAUAUAUAUAUGUACACACACAAACACGUACACAAAAAAUAGCCGGGCAUGGGGCUGCAGGCCUGUAGUACCAGUUACUGGGGAGGUUGAGAUGGGAGGAUUGAUUGAGCCUAAGAAGUGGAGGCUACAGUGAGCCAAGAUUGCAUCACUGCAUGCCAGCCUGGGCAACAGAGCAAGACCCUGUCUCAAGGGAGGAAAAAAUAAAAAAAUAAAUAAAAAUUUAAAAAAAGAACACUUGAAGUUACUCAGAUCAGGACUCAUGCAGAGAAAAGCCAACAGGAGCAACACCCCACAUUAGGGGAGGAAGACACCUGGGGAUUCACUGACUUCAGUUGUGUGAAUUUUACCCUAUGACCUUGCUUGCUUUAUGAGACAGCAGAGGUGGCCAAGGUCAAUCCUACUGCUCUGUGGUGAACUCUGCUUUUCUCUCGUUACCAUAGGUAAAGGGUCAUGCUCCUAUGUAAGCCUUCCUGUUCCCCAGUCAUUUGUGCACGGGGUAGGCCAUCAUCUCCUGCCUAUUCAAGGGAAUGACUAGUCCUGUCUUCUGUAUCCUCAGUCACCAACUUCUCAGUUAGUGUUGGACCAAGCCUAUGUUCAAAACAUGACUGAGACAGACCUCAAUCCAUAGAGAUUUAUUUAGCCAAGGUCCAAGGACACAUCUAGGAAAAAAUACGGGAUCACAGGAGCAUCUGCGCCUUCUACUUUUUCCAAAGAGGGUUUUGGGAACUUCAGUAUUUAAAGGGGAAACAGCAAGCAGGUGAGGAAAAAAAGCGAGGAAGUGUAGGCAAUGACAGAUGCUCACAUUCUUGUGAAACUCUGUUUACCCUAGUAAAUCUGCAUUUUACAUGUGAAAAGAGGGAGUAAAGGAAAUAGUCAAUAAUGCAUUCCUCUCAGGAUAGGCCCACGUGGAUUUUUAAUCUUGUCCUUGCCCUGUGAAGAUAAGCUGGUAACUGACAUUGUCAGGGUGAGAUUCAGCAGAACUCAGUUUUAGGACUAACUUACAGAGGAGCUGUGUAUCCUGAAGAUUCAGCGACUGGCAAGGAAUUUCCUUGGGAGCAAUGUGUGAGGGAGGCCAUCUGAGGAGAUCUGUGGCUUUCUUUUGUUGUGGGAAUCUGGCUUAUGGAUGAAUCUACGACACAGGAUUGUGAAAUUACAGCUCUUUGGGAACAAAAGGAAGGCAGUAUUGCAUGACUUAGUUUCCCAGCUUCACUUUCCCUUUGGCAUGUUCCAGUUCCACAUCACAGUCACGCAAAUGUAAGAGAAUGGAGAAUGCAGUCCUUUCUCAGCUGGGCACAAAGUAAUGCUGAGUGAAACAGAAGUUGUUAUUGUGGAAGAGCUUCCAGUCGAUUUUGAAAAAUUCAGAGCAUGGGCAAGACAUAGCAGAAAAAGAAAUUGUGAUUGAUUGGAGUAUUUAUUUUCCUGGCUUCCUCCAUGUGGAGUUGCUAAAGACCGGCUGCAUCUUUCAGCUGCAAUCACAGCUCCUGCCUGGCAGCCUUCUCGGUCUCCAGGUUGUAGGAACCUCUUUGUCUUAUCUUUCAGGCCUGUGGGUGGCAAUAAUGUUCUUUAUUAGUACUAGCCUUAAGAUUUCACCAAUUAUUCCAGCUGUUUACUGGAAACCACAAAAAGCACACUGACUGACAUCGCCACUACGUGUCUUUCUUUUAGGGGCAUAAUAAAGUAGGAAACACAUUUAUUGUCCUCCAGAGAGGGCCUCCAAGUCAACUCUGCAUGUCUGACUUGCCCCAACCAUUUUAUGGAGUGCACUGAAGUGUUUUAAGGUCCUGCUUCCCUUCCAGAACAGCACCUUCCUUAGAGUGACUUCUUAGUGCUCCUCAGGCUCAAAGCCAGACCAUGAAGAUGUCAUAUUUUCCCUAAAACUGAAAGCUCCUUGAAUCAAGGGAACAUGGAUAUUUGACUCAACUGCUCUAGUCUUGUAGCAGACAAGACGCUGCUUCCAGCUACAGAUCUUGAGAAGGCUGCCUCGCACCUAUUUAAAAUAACAUGAAAAUCAGUAGCUCACAUUGCAAAGCCGAAAGAAGGAAAUCCUCCAACUUCAGUCACUUCAGCUGUUCAACCAAAUCCUUAAUACAUAGGGCUCUUUUCAUCUCUCUGUUCAGCUGUCCACUAGAACAGCAGUCCCCAACCAUUUGGCACCAGGGACUGGUUUCAUGGAAGAUAAUUUUUCCAUAGACUGGGGCAGGUUGGGGGGAUGGGUUCAGGAUGAUUCAAGUAAAUUACAUUUAUUGCGCACUUUAUUUCUAUUAUUAUUAUAUUGUAAUAAAUAAUGAAAUAAGUAUACCACUCACCGUCAUAUAGAAUCAGUGGGAGCCCUGGUCUUGUUUUCCUGCACCUAGAUGGUCCCAUUUGGGAGAGAUGGGAUACCGUGAUAGAUCAUCAUGCAUGAAGUUCUCAUAAGGAGCGUUCAACCUAGAUCCCUCACAUAUGCAGUUAACAUUCAGGUUUGUGCCUACACUGCUCUGACAGGAGGUGGAACUCAGAUGGUAAUGCAAGUGAUGGGGAGUGGCUGUAAAUACAGAUAAAGCUUCACUGGCUCACCUGCUGCUUACCUCCUGCUGUGUGUGGCCCGGUUCCUAAUAGGCCACAGACCAGGGUUGGGGAGCCCUGCACUAGAAGUUUCAUUUGAUCUAUGUGCUCACAUCAUCACAGAGAGUCAAAAAGACAGAGAAAUAAUCAUUUCCCUAAUCAAAAACUGUAAGGUCCCUUCCUUUAGUCUGAUUGAGGCAACUCAGGACAUGUGUUUACCCUUGGAUCAAACAUUGUCAUCAACAGGAUCCUGGGUUUAUGCAUCUUGGAGCUGGCAAUUAGGUCAGCUUUUCUGAAGUACAAGGAAAAAGAGAAGAAAUCUUAAAUCAAAUUAAUGUUCUCUUGGGAAUGAGAAAGGGAUUUGUAUGUUUGUUUUCCAGGAGAUUAUUUUAUUCUUUUUCUUCUCAGCAUCUUGCUUCACCUUCUUUCUCUCCUAACCUGGCUCUCCCACUCUGUGGUCCAUGUUUCAGGACCCCGUAUCUGACCAGUUUCCAACUCAUCUUCACUUGGGAGUUGGCUGUGAAGAGACAGGCAAGUCUCUUCAUCAAGCAGGAGGAAAACAUACAGCGGGAAGGAAAUAUGAAACGACCUCAUUUCUAGUUUAACCCUUUGGAUCUCCUUUGUACCACGUCUCCUUGGAUGAGAAGAGUCUCCCUCUCAUCAGCACAUUAAGGAAUCUACCAUACAACUUCAGUCUUCAGUAUUGCCAAAGACUAGUAACCUAUGCUCCAAGAGUUAAUGACUAUAAGUGCAUCACUGAAGCCUGUAGAAAAAGGCCCUGAUGCCUCCUGCCCUAAUAAUUUGUAUGUGUUUAUUUUUUUCCAUUUGCAAGAUAGAAAACAAACUGGUCUGGUUACAACUAACCAUAGAUUUGCACCAACUAUUAGAAAUGGAUUUUUUUAUCAUCAGUUUUUUUUCAUGUUGUGUUCAUGCUCAUCCCUCAGAUAUUUAUGUUUCAGUCUUGGGUAAUUUAUUUCUAUUUACUUUAAAUUUCCUUAUGAAAUAGUUUCAAUUAUAUCACAGGUUGUUAUAAAUAGUUGGUGUUAAAUUAUAUAGAGGUAUUACAUUGCUACUUAAUGCCUGCAUUUGAUGUGGUUAUUACAAUGGUGACGCUAUAGAUCACCGUAGCAACAAAAACAAGAAUUCAUAGCCUGUUUCAAACAUAAGAGGCUGAAAAUAUUUCAUAGUUAUUGAAAGCUGAGGUAUGAAGCAAUUUAAACAUUUAGCUGCUGAGUAAUUGGGAUCUAGAAAUACAUCAACCUAGAUACUGAAUUUUUAGAAGAGUCAAUAUUGAAUAAUAGCACAGGUCAUUUACUUUUAAUUGUCUAGCCAUCUGAAUGCUUGAGCAUGUGAACAGUAACUUCACCCAUGUAGCUUAUUUAUCUAUGUUUCAUAAACAGGCUACCUUCUGAGAGUUAAUUGUGUGAACAGGAAAAGUCACUACCUAAUAAAUUGAUGUUCACUUUUACUGAUAAAUUUCCAUAAGCAUUGCCCAGGGCAGUGUUAUCUUUGUCUCUAUGGUAACCAAUGCUAUAAAGAGAUAAAAGAAUCAAAAGAGGGAAUAUCACCAGUAUCAUACAUAAAAUAUAUGCCUAGAAUUAUAGGAGAUACCAGAAGAUUAUGCAUUUUGGGGGGGAUUCUUGUUUGACAGGACACAUAAAUCACUUGUUGCUUUACUCAUUCAUAGAGCUAAAAAUGUGAGAUAGCACCUGUGUUCUCCUGCAAAUAUGUGUAAGACCAAUUGAUGACUAUGUGCUUCAAGAAGCUUCUUUGUACCAUGUCUCCCUAGAUAGGACGGGCGCCCUCUCUGAUCAGCAUGUUAAGGAAUCUACCCUAACAAAAGGUUUGAAAAAGUUGGUUGGAUUGGCUACAUGCAUAACUCGGGAUCAGUUCUCUUCAUGCAUCUGCUAAUACUCAUGGUUCCUGAAAAAGACUUGAUAUGCUUGCUCUUUGGAAGAGGGGAUUAGCUUUGACCCUUCUUCCACAGCUGUUCCAGUUCUGUUCUUCCACAGCUGUUCCAGUUCUGCUCCCAACUUUUUGACAAACUUACAUAAACUACCCAAGGUAAAGACGAAAACCCAGCCCAGUUCCUGGCUUGUUUGGCAGCAACCCUGAGGCUCUUUACAGCCCUAGACCCUGAAGGGCCAGAAGGCCGUCUUAUUCUCAGUAUGUAUUUUAUCACCCAGUCAGCUCUUGACAUUAGAAAAAAGCUUCAAAAACUGGAAUCUGGCCCUCAAACCCCACAACAGGAAUUAAUCAACUUCGCCUUCAAGGUGUACAAUAAUAGAGAGGAGGCAGCCAAGUGACAACACAUUUCUGAGUUACAGUUACUUGCCUCUGUUCUGAGACAAAACCCAGCCAGACCUCCAGCACCCAAGAACUUCAAAACGCCUAAGCCGCAGUGGUCAGGCAUUUCUACGGGACCUCCUCCAUCAGGAUCUUGCUUCAAGUGCCAGAAAUCUGGCCACUGGGCCAAGGAAUGCCCACUGCCCAUGAUUCCCCCGCAAGCCCUGUCCCAUCUGUGCAGGGACCCACUGGAAAUCCGACUGCCCAGCUCGCCCGGCAGCCACUCCUAGAGCCCCUAAAGCUCUGGCCCGAGGCUCUCUGACCGACUCCUUCCCAGAUCUGCUCGGCUUAGUGGCUGAAGACUAACACUGCCCGAUCACCUUGGAAGCCCCCUGGACCAUCACAGACGCCGAGCCUCGGGAAACUCUCACAGUGGAGGGUAAGUCCAUCCCCUGUUUAAUCGAUAUGGAGGCUACCCACUCCACAUUACCUUCUUUUCAAGGGCCUGUUUCCCUUGUCCCCAUAACUGUUGUGGUAUUGACAGUGAAGCUUCAAAACCUCUUAAAACUCCCCAACUUUGGUGCCAACUUGGACAACAUUCUUUUUUGCACUCCUUUUUAGUUAUCCCCACCUGCCCAGUUCCCUUAUUAGGUCGAGACAUUUUAACUAAAUUAUCCGCUUCCCUGACUAUUCCUGGGCUACAGCCAAACCUCACUGCCACCCUUUUCCCCAGUUCAAAGCCUCCUUCACAUCCCCCCCUUAUGUCUCCCUACCUUAAUCCACAAGUAUGGGAUACCUCUACGCCCUCCUUGGCAACCGAUCAUGCACCCCUUAUCAUCCCACUAAAACCUAAUCACCCUUACCCUGCUCAGUGCCAAUAUGCCAUCUCACAGCAGGCUUUAAAAAGGUCAAAGCCUGUUAUCACCCACCUGUUACAACAUGGCCUCUUAAAGCCUACAAACUCUCCUUACAACUCUCCUAUCCUACUUGUCCAAAAACCAGACAAGUCUUACAGGCUGGUCCAGGAUCUGUGCCUUAUCAACCAAAUUGCCUUGCCUAUCCACCCAGUGGUGCCAAACCCAUAUACUCUCCUAUUCUCAAUGCCUCCCUCCACAACCCAUUAUUCUGUUAUGGAUCUCAAACAUGCUUCCUUUACUGUUCCUUUGCACCCUUCAUUCUAGGCUCUCUUCGCUUUCACUUGGACUGACUCUGACACCCAUCAGUCUCAGCAACUUACCUGGGCUGUACUGCCACAAGGCUUCAGGGGCAGCCCCCAUUACUUCAGUCAAACCCUUUCUCAUGAUUUACUUUCUUUCUGCCCAUCUGCUUCUCGUCUUAUUCGAUAUUUUCACGACCUUCUACUUUAUAGCCCCUCCUACAUAUCUUCCCAACAAGACACUCUCCUGCUCCUCCAACAUCUAUUCACAAAGGGAUAUCACGUAUCCCCCUCCAAAGCCCAAAUUUCUUCCUCGUCCAUUACGUAUCUCAGCAUAAUUCUUCAUAAAAACACACGUGCUCUCCCUGCUGAUCAUGUCUGGCUAAUCUCCCAAACCCCAACCCCUUCUACAAAGCAACAACUCCUUUCCUUCCUAGGCACAUUUAGGUACUUUUGCCUUUGGAUAUCCGGUUUUUCCAUCCUGACUAAACCAUUAUAUAAACUCACAAAAGAAAACCUAGCUGACCCCAUGGAUCCUAAAUCCUUUCCCCACUCCUCUGUCCAUUCCUUAAAAACAGCACUAGAACUACUCCCACACUAGCUCUCCCUAACUUAUCCCAACCCUUUUUAUUACACACAGCUGAAGUGCAGGGCUGUGUGGUCAGAAUUCUUACACAAGAGCUGGGACUGCACCCUGUAGCCUUUCUGUCCAAACAACUUGACCUUACUGUUUUAGGCUGGCCCCCACAUUAUUCUUGAUACCACACCUGACCCCCAUGACUGUAUGUCUCUGAUCCACCUGACAUUCACUUCAUUUCCCCGUAUUUCCUUCUUUCCUGUUCCUCACCCUGAUCACACUUGGUUUAUUGAUGGCAGUUCCACCAGGCCUAAUUGCACUCACCAGCAAAGGCAGGCUAUGCUAUAGUAUCUUCCACAUCUAUCAUUGAGGCUACCACUUUAUCCCCCUCCACUACCUCUCAGCAAGCUGAACUCAUUGCCUUAACUCGAGCCCUCACUCUUGCAAAAGGACUGUGUGUCAAUAUUUAUACUGACUCUCAACAUGCCUUCCAUAUCCUGCACCACCAUGCUGUUAUGUGGACAGAAAGAGGUUUUCUCACUACACAAGGGUCCUCUAUCAUUAAUUCCUCUUUAAUAAAAACUCUUCUCAAGGCCGCUUUACUUCCAAAGGAAGCUGGAGUCCUUCACUGCAAAGGCAAUCAAAGGGCCUCAGACCCCACUGCUCAAGGUAACACUUAUGCUGAUAAGACGGCUAAAGAAGCAGCCAGUAUUCCUACUUCUGUCCCUCAUGGCCAGUUUUUCACCUUCUCGUCAGUCACUCCUACUUACUCUCCAACUGAAAAUUCCUCCUUCCAGCCUGACAGGCUCAUUCCAUUCUAUCAUCCUUUCAUAACCUCUUCCACGUGGGUUACAAGCCACUAGUCCACCACUUAGAACCUCUCAUUUCCUUUAAGACAUUUGCCCUGCAUUUCACUCCAUCCUUGGCUACCUUCCUCUUGUUCUUCAGACUGUCCUCCCAGCCCCCUUUCUUGUUUACUUAUACCCAGCCCCAUGAAUAGCAAUGAAAGGUUGCUUACAGACACUGUGCGCUUUCUCAUACACCAUAAAAAUCAAAUCUCCCCCUUUAUCCAGUUGCCUCAUCAAUCCCCAUUACAACCUCUAACGGCUGCUGCGCUUGCUAAAUCCCUAAGAGUCUGGGUGCAAGACACCUCUUUUGCUGCUCCCUCUCAUCUUUUCACUUUACAUUUCCAGUUUUGCCUUAGAAAAGUCUCUUCUUCCUCUGUGGCUUCUCCACCUACAUGUGUCUACCUAUCAAUUGCACAGGCACAUGUACACGAGUUUUCCUUACCCCCAAAAAUCAAUUCGCAAACAGGACCGAACAGCUUCCUGUUCCCCUCAUGACACCAACACUUCACUACUAUUUUGUUUUGUUUUUCUUAUUAUUAAUAUAAGAAGACAGGAAUAGGCCUCGACUUACUCACUGCUGAAAAAGGAGGACUCUGUAUAUUUUUAAAUGAAGAGUGUUGUUUUUACCUAAAUCAAUCUGGCCUGGUAUAUGACAACAUAAAAAAAAACUCAAGGAUAGAGCCCAAAAACUCGCCAAUCAAGUAAAUAAUUACUUUGAACCCCUUUGGGCACUCUUUAAUUGGAUGUCCUGGGUCCUCCCAAUUCUUAGUCCUUUAAUACCUGUUUUUUUUCCUUCUGUUAUUUGGGCCUUGUGUCUUCAGUUUGGUUUCUCAAUUUAUACAAAACCGCAUUCCGACCAUCACCAAUCAUUCUAUAAGACAAAUGCUACUUUUAACAACCCCACAGUACCAUCCUCUGCCCCAAGAUCUCCCCACUACCUAAAUUCCUAUGCCUUGUAACUCAUUAUAAAAUUUUCUUUAAGGUGUCCAUGCAGUCCCUGGUCAUGCUUGAAGCAGUCCCGAGAAACAUCACCCCUACCCUAAUAAUCCCCAGUAAAACUUAUAUUUCUUUAUCUUUUCUUAUAACUUUAUAUUUUAUAAGUAAAAAGACAGGAAUGUCAGGCCUCUGAGCUGAAGCUCAGCCAUUGUAACCCCUGUGACCUGCACAUAUAUGUCCAGAUGGCCUGCAGGAGCCAAGAAGUCUGAGGCAACCCAAAACUACAAAAAAAGUGAAACAGCCAGCUCCUGUCUUAACUGAUUGACCAGCCUUAUGACAUUCCAUUAUAACUUGUUCCUGCCCUGCCCCAACUGAUUGAUCGACCUCAUGACAUUCUUCUUCUGGACAAUGAGUCUUAUGAUCUCCCCACCAUGCACCUUGUGACCCCCUCCUCUGCUGACAACAGAUAACCACCUCUAACUGUAACUUUCCACUGCUUACCCCAGUCCUAUAAAGCGGCCCCUCUCCUAUCUCCCUUUGCUGACUCUCUUUUCAGACUCAGCCCACUUGCACCCAAGUGAAAUAAACAGCCUUGUUGCUCACACAAA